CCUACGGGAGGCAGCAGUGGGGAAUAUUGCGCAAUGGGCGAAAGCCUGACGCAGCCAUGCCGCGUGUGUGAAGAAGGCCUUAGGGUUGUAAAGCACUUUCAAUUGGGAGGAAGGAGUUAAAGUUAAUAGCUUUGACUUUUGACGUACUUAGA
rnacentral:rRNA from 1 species